rnacentral:rRNA from 1 species
UACAGAGGUCUCAACCGUUGUUCGGAUUUAUUGGGCGUAAAGGGUGCGUAGGCGGUCGGGUAAGUCGGAUGUGAAAUCCCAGGGCUCAACCCUGGAACUGCAUUCGAUACUGCCUGGCUAGGGUACUGGAGAGGAGACUGGAAUUUACGGUGUAGCAGUGAAAUGCGUAGAUAUCGUAAGGAAGACCAGUGGCGAAGGCGAGUCUCUGGACAGUUACCGACGCUGAGGCACGAAGGUCAGGGGAGCAAACGGG